UCGGACAAACCGAUGGUCCGAGAGCGUCU
rnacentral:sRNA from 1 species